rnacentral:snoRNA from 1 species
UCUUUUAAUAUGAUGAUAAAACAAUCUCUUAGUGCAUAGUUCAACUGAGAAGAUUAUAUUCUAAUCUAUUAUGAAGAUAAAAAUUUCCAUCGAAUUUAGUCUUUCGCUCCUAUCUGACUCUAUUU